rnacentral:rRNA from 1 species
UACAGAGGGUGCAAGCGUUAAUCGGAAUUACUGGGCGUAAAGGGCGCGUAGGCGGAUAUUUAAGUUAGAGGUGAAAGCCCAGGGCUCAACCCUGGAAUAGCCUUUAAUACUGGAUAUCUUGAGUUCGGGAGAGGUGAGUGGAACUCCGAGUGUAGAGGUGAAAUUCGUAGAUAUUCGGAAGAACACCAGUGGCGAAGGCGACUCACUGGCCCGAUACCGACGCUGAGGCGCGAAAGCGUGGGGAGCAAACAGG